GAGGACAGAGAACAGUGGACACACAGUUUAACAUGAUGGACUAUAGGACAGGACUACUGCUUUUAACUGUCUGCUGGGCAGGUGUUGAUGGUCAGACUCUGACAGAAUCUGAACCAGUGAUUAAAAGGCCUGGAGAAUCUCACAGACUGACCUGUACAGCCUCUGGAUUCACAUUUAGUGACUACUAUAUGCUCUGGAUCAGACAGGCUCCUGGAAAAGGACUGGAGUGGGUUGCCAGGAUUCAAAGUGGUAGUGGUAGCAGCAAGCUCUACUCUCAGUCAAUCCAAGGCCGGUUCACCAUCUCCAGAGACAACAGCAGACAGCAGGUGUAUCUGCAGAUGAACAGUCUGAAGACUGAAGAUUCUGCUGUUUAUUAUUGUGCUCGAUAGCCACAGUGACUGGAGUUGGCUGAGCAGCUGUACAAAAACCUACAGUACUCAUUUUAUUGGCUGGUUUGCUUUGGUUUCAGGCCUCAAGCACAAGUUACCUGUGGACAAACACUGUGUCCUGGACCUGGAUUACAGGAAAAGCAGAGACAGAAUCGCUUA